GAUGAACGCUGGCGGCGUGCCUAAUACAUGCAAGUCGAGCGAACGGACGAGAAGCUUGCUUCUCUGAUGUUAGCGGAGGACGGGAGAGUAACACGUGGAUAACCUACCUAUAAGACUGGGAUAACUUCGGGAAACCGGCGCUAAUACCGGAUAAUAUUUUGAACCGCAUGGUUCAAAAGUGAAAGACGGUCUUGCUGUCACUUAUAGAUGGAUCCGCGCUGCAUUAGCUAGUUGGUAAGGUAACGGCUUACCAAGGCAACGAUGCGUAGCCGACCUGAGAGGGUGAGCGGCCACACUGGGACUGAGACACGGUCCAUACUGCUACGGGUGGCAGCAGGAGGGAAUCGGCCGCAAGGGGCGGAAGCCUUAGGGAGCAGCGCCGCGUGAGUGAUGAAGGUCUUCGGGUCGGAGAACUCUGUUAUUAGGGAGGAACAUGUUUGUAAGUAACUGUGCGCAUCUUGACGGGUCCUAAUCAGAAAACCACGGCUAACUUCGGG
rnacentral:rRNA from 1 species